rnacentral:rRNA from 1 species
UACGGAGGAUGCGAGCGUUAUCCGGAUUUAUUGGGUUUAAAGGGUGCGUAGGCGGCUUAGUAAGUCAGCGGUGAAAUUUUGCAGCUUAACUGUAACAGUGCCGUUGAUACUGCCAGGCUAGGAUUUGGUUGCUGUGGGUGGAAUGUGUGGUGUAGCGGUGAAAUGCUUAGAUAUCACACAGAAUAUCGAUUGCGAAGGCAGCUCACAAAGCCAAGAUUGACGCUGAGGCACGAAGGUGUGGGGAUCAAACA